GACGAACGCUGGCGGCGUGCCUAAUACAUGCAAGUAGAACGCUGAAGAGAGGAGCUUGCUCUUCUUGGAUGAGUUGCGAACGGGUGAGUAACGCGUAGGUAACCUGCCUGGUAGCGGGGGAUAACUAUUGGAAACGAUAGCUAAUACCGCAUAAAAUUGAUUAUUGCAUGAUAAUUAAUUGAAAGAUGCAAUUGCAUCACUACCAGAUGGACCUGCGUUGUAUUAGCUAGUUGGUGAGGUAACGGCUCACCAAGGCGACGAUACAUAGCCGACCUGAGAGGGUGAUCGGCCACACUGGGACUGAGACACGGCCCAGACUCCUACGGGAGGCAGCAGUAGGGAAUCUUCGGCAAUGGGGGGAACCCUGACCGAGCAACGCCGCGUGAGUGAAGAAGGUUUUCGGAUCGUAAAGCUCUGUUGUAAGAGAAGAACGGGUGUGAGAGUGGAAAGUUCACACUGUGACGGUAUCUUACCAGAAAGGGACGGCUAACUACGUGCCAGCAGCCGCGGUAAUACGUAGGUCCCGAGCGUUGUCCGGAUUUAUUGGGCGUAAAGCGAGCGCAGGCGGUUAGAUAAGUCUGAAGUUAAAGGCUGUGGCUUAACCAUAGUAUGCUUUGGAAACUGUUUAACUUGAGUGCAGAAGGGGAGAGUGGAAUUCCAUGUGUAGCGGUGAAAUGCGUAGAUAUAUGGAGGAACACCGGUGGCGAAAGCGGCUCUCUGGUCUGUAACUGACGCUGAGGCUCGAAAGCGUGGGGAGCAAACAGGAUUAGAUACCCUGGUAGUCCACGCCGUAAACGAUGAGUGCUAGGUGUUAGGCCCUUUCCGGGGCUUAGUGCCGCAGCUAACGCAUUAAGCACUCCGCCUGGGGAGUACGACCGCAAGGUUGAAACUCAAAGGAAUUGACGGGGGCCCGCACAAGCGGUGGAGCAUGUGGUUUAAUUCGAAGCAACGCGAAGAACCUUACCAGGUCUUGACAUCCCUCUGACCGCUCUAGAGAUAGAGUUUUCCUUCGGGACAGAGGUGACAGGUGGUGCAUGGUUGUCGUCAGCUCGUGUCGUGAGAUGUUGGGUCAAGCCCCGCAACGAGCGCAACCCCUAUUGUUAGUUGCCAUCAUUCAGUUGGGCACUCUAGCGAGACUGCCGGUAAUAAACCGGAGGAAGGUGGGGAUGACGUCAAAUCAUCAUGCCCCUUAUGACCUGGGCUACACACGUGCUACAAUGGCUGGUACAACGAGUCGCAAGCCGGUGACGGCAAGCUAAUCUCUGAAAGCCAGUCUCAGUUCGGAUUGUAGGCUGCAACUCGCCUACAUGAAGUCGGAAUCGCUAGUAAUCGCGGAUCAGCACGCCGCGGUGAAUACGUUCCCGGGCCU
rnacentral:rRNA from 1 species